rnacentral:rRNA from 1 species
UACGUAGGGUGCAAGCGUUAAUCGGAAUUACUGGGCGUAAAGCGUGCGCAGGCGGCUUUGUAAGUUUGUCGUGAAAUCCCCGGGCUCAACCUGGGAAUGGCGAUGAAGACUGCAAGGCUAGAAUCUGGCAGAGGGGGGUAGAAUUCCACGUGUAGCAGUGAAAUGCGUAGAGAUGCGGAGGAACACCGAUGGCGAAGGCAGCCCCCUGGGCUGACACUGACGCUCAGGCACGAAAGCGUGGGGAGCAACAAGG